GCGGACGGCAGAGUAACACGUGGGUAACCUACCUAUAAGACUGGGAUAACUUCGGGAAACCGGAGCUAAUACCGGAUAACAUUUGGAACCGCAUGGUUCUAAAGUGAAAGAUGGUUUUGCUAUCACUUAUAGAUGGACCCGCGCCGUAUUAGCUAGUUGGUAAGGUAACGGCUUACCAAGGCGACGAUACGUAGCCGACCUGAGAGGGUGAUCGGCCACACUGGAACUGAGACACGGUCCAGACUCCUACGGGAGGCAGCAGUAGGGAAUCUUCCGCAAUGGGCGAAAGCCUGACUUUUUUUUUGCCGCGUGAGUGAUGAAGGGUUUCGGCUCGUAAAACUCUGUUUAUUACGGAAGAACAAACGUGUAAGUAACUGUGCAUGUCUUGACGGUACUUAUUCUAAAGUCUUUGCUAACUACGUGUCAUCAGUCGCGGUAAUAAUUUGUGGUAAGCGUUUUCUGGAAUUAUUGUGUGUAUUUUUUGUA
rnacentral:rRNA from 1 species